CCUACGGGAGGCAGCAGUGGGGAAUAUUGCACAAUGGGGGAAACCCUGAUGCAGCGACGCCGCGUGAGUGAAGAAGUAUUUCGGUAUGUAAGGCUCUAUCAGCAGGGAAGAAAAUGACGGUACCUGAUUAAGAAGCCCCGGCUAACUACGUGCCAGCAGCCGCGGUCAUACGUAGGGGGCAAGCGUUAUCCGGAUUUACUGGGUGUAAAGGGAGCGUAGACGGCAGCACAAGUCUGGAGUGAACUGCCGGGGCUUAACCCCGGAACUGCUUUGGAAACUGUGCAGCUAGAGUGCAGGAGAGGUAAGUGGAAUUCCUAGUGUAGCGGUGAAAUGCGUAGAUAUUAGGAGGAACACCAGUGGCGAAGGCGGCUUACUGGACUGUAACUGACGUUGAGGCUCGAAAGCGUGGGGAGCAAACAGGAUUAGAUACCCGAGUAGUC
rnacentral:rRNA from 1 species